GAGGGGCAGCGGAGGCGAGUGCUUGCACUUGCCAGACGGCGACCGGCGCACGGGUGAGUAACACGUAUGCGACCUGCCCGUAGCAGGGGGAUAAGCGGAAGAAAUUCCGUCUAAUACCGCGUAAUAUCUUUCGGGGGCAUCCCUGAGGGAUUAAAGGAAGCGAUUCCGGCUACGGAUGGGCAUGCGGCGCAUUAGCUAGUCGGCGGGGUAACGGCCCACCGAGGCGACGAUGCGUAGGGGUUCUGAGAGGAAGGUCCCCCACACUGGUACUGAGACACGGACCAGACUCCUACGGGAGGCAGCAGUGAGGAAUAUUGGUCAAUGGGCGAGAGCCUGAACCAGCCAAGUCGCGUGAGGGAAGACGGUCCUAUGGAUUGUAAACCUCUUUUGUCGGGGAGCAAAAAGGCCUCGUGAGGCCACAAGCGAGAGUACCCGAAGAAAAAGCAUCGGCUAACUCCGUGCCAGCAGCCGCGGUAAUACGGAGGAUGCGGGCGUUAUCCGGAUUUAUUGGGUUUAAAGGGUGCGUAGGCGGACUGGAAAGUCAGCGGUAAAAUCGAGAGGCUCAACCUCUUUCCGCCGUUGAAACUGUCGGUCUUGAGUGGGCGAGAAGUAUGCGGAAUGCGUGGUGUAGCGGUGAAAUGCAUAGAUAUCACGCAGAACUCCGAUUGCGAAGGCAGCAUACCGGCGCCCGACUGACGCUGAGGCACGAAAGCGUGGGUAUCGAACAGGAUUAGAUACCCUGGUAGUCCACGCAGUAAACGAUGAAUACUAAUUGUCCGGUCAGAAUGAUGACUGGGUGAUACAGCGAAAGCGUUAAGUAUUCCACCUGGGGAGUACGCCGGCAACGGUGAGACUCAAAGGAAUUGACGGGGGCCCGCACAAGCGGAGGAACAUGUGGUUUAAUUCGAUGAUACGCGAGGAACCUUACCCGGGCUCAAACGUAGAAUGACAGACGGUGAAAGCCGUUUUCCCUUCGGGGCAGUCUACGAGGUGCUGCAUGGUUGUCGUCAGCUCGUGCCGUGAGGUGUCGGCUUAAGUGCCAUAACGAGCGCAACCCCCAUCUACAGUUGCUAACAGGUAAAGCUGAGGACUCUGUGGAGACUGCCGGCGCAAGCUGUGAGGAAGGCGGGGAUGACGUCAAAUCAGCACGGCCCUUACGUCCGGGGCGACACACGUGUUACAAUGGCAGGUACAGCGGGAAGCCAUAUGGCGACAUAGAGCGGAACCCGAAAACCUGUCUCAGUUCGGAUUGGAGUCUGCAACUCGACUCCAUGAAGCUGGAUUCGCUAGUAAUCGCGCAUCAGCCACGGCGCGGUGAAUACGUUCCCGGGC
rnacentral:rRNA from 1 species